rnacentral:rRNA from 1 species
UACGAGGGGGGCUAAUGUUGUUCGGAAUCACUGGGCGUAAAGGGCGCGUAGGCGGGCUUCUAAGUUAGGUGUUUAAUCCCAGGGCCCAACCCUGGUCGUGCACUUAAAACUGGGAGUCUUGAAUAGUGGAGAGGUCAGUGGAAUUGGGGGUGUAGCGGUGGAAUGCGUAGAGAUCCCCAAGAACACCAGUUGCGAAGGCGGCUGACUGGACACAUAUUGACGCUGAGGCUCGAAAGCAUGGGGAGCAAACAGG